rnacentral:rRNA from 1 species
UACGUAGGAUGCAAGCGUUGUCCGGAUUUUUUGGGUUUAAAGGGUGCGUAGGCGGCCUAUUAAGUUAGUGGUGAAAACGUUCGGCUUAACCGGAUACCCGCCAUUGAUACUGAUAGACUUGAGUGCGACAGAGGGUGUUGGAAUGUGUGGUGUAGCGGUGAAAUGCUUAGAUAUCACGCCGAACGCCAAUUGCGAAGGCAGAUGCCUAUGUCGUAACUGACGCUGAGGCACGAAAGCGUGGGGAGCAAACAGG